AUUGAACGCUGGCGGCAGGCCUAACACAUGCAAGUCGAGCGGUAACAGGUCCAGCUUGCCGGAUGCUGACGAGCGGCGGACGGGUGAGUAAUGCAUAGGAAUCUGCCCGAUAGUGGGGGAUAACCUGGGGAAACCCAGGCUAAUACCGCAUACGUCCUACGGGAGAAAGGGGGCUCCGGCUCCCGCUAUGGGAUGAGCCUAUGUCGGAUUAGCUAGUUGGUGAGGUAACGGCUCACCAAGGCGACGAUCCGUAGCUGGUCUGAGAGGAUGAUCAGCCACAUCGGGACUGAGACACGGCCCGAACUCCUACGGGAGGCAGCAGUGGGGAAUAUUGGACAAUGGGGGAAACCCUGAUCCAGCCAUGCCGCGUGUGUGAAGAAGGCCCUCGGGUUGUAAAGCACUUUCAGCGAGGAAGAACGCCUAACGGUUAAUACCCGCUAGGAAAGACAUCACUCGCAGAAGAAGCACCGCUAACU
rnacentral:rRNA from 1 species